rnacentral:miRNA from 12 species
CGGAGUCCGCCUCGCGGUCCAGCG